GACGAACGCUGGCGGCGUGCUUAACACAUGCAAGUCGAACGGAAAGGCCCUGCUUUUGUGGGGUGCUCGAGUGGCGAACGGGUGAGUAACACGUGAGUAACCUGCCCUUGACUUUGGGAUAACUUCAGGAAACUGGGGCUAAUACCGGAUAGGAGCUCCUGCUGCAUGGUGGGGGUUGGAAAGUUUCGGCGGUUGGGGAUGGACUCGCGGCUUAUCAGCUUGUUGGUGGGGUAGUGGCUUACCAAGGCUUUGACGGGUAGCCGGCCUGAGAGGGUGACCGGCCACAUUGGGACUGAGAUACGGCCCAGACUCCUACGGGAGGCAGCAGUGGGGAAUAUUGCACAAUGGGCGGAAGCCUGAUGCAGCAACGCCGCGUGCGGGAUGACGGCCUUCGGGUUGUAAACCGCUUUCGCCUGUGACGAAGCGUGAGUGACGGUAAUGGGUAAGGAAGCACCGGCUAACUCCGU
rnacentral:rRNA from 1 species